rnacentral:rRNA from 1 species
AAUGAACGUUGGCGGCGUGGAUUAGGCAUGCAAGUCGAGCGAGAACCCCGCAAGGGGGGACAGCGGCAAACGGGGUAGUAAUGUGUCGGAACGUGCCCUCUGGACGGGGAUAGCGGCGGGAAACUGCCGGUAAUACCCGAUGAACUCGAGAGAGCAAAGGUGUGAUUCCGCCGGAGGAGCGGCCGACAUGGUAUUAGCUAGUUGGUGGGGUAACGGCCCACCAAGGCUUUGAUGCCUAGGGGAUGUGAGAGCAUGAUCCCCACCAUUGGGACUGAGACACUGCCCAGACACCUACGGGUGGCAG